AUGUACGCAUCCAUGCGCGGCCUCGCAAGCAGAUCAGCCGGGAAGCUUUAGCCGGGCUGGCUGCUGAGAUGAAAUGUGCGGGUGGCAGGCAGGCCGGCGUGGCGUUUUAUGGCUGUUUGCAGGAGGCCGCCUUGGCGUAAGGCCUGUCCGGCCGGGAGAGGCCGGGUGUCCCCCCAGGGGACCCGCUGGAGCCGUGUUUGCCCCUGGGUGCGCGGCACAGCGCGGAGCCAGGGACCAGCAGGGGGGCAGAGCACGAGUCCAACAGCGUUUGCUUGUAAAUGGCUGUCACAGGUUCACACCCUUCCCCAUGAAAUUCCCGGGUGUUCGCCUGGGUUCCAGCGCUGCUCCCUGCUGUGCGGUCUCUCGUUGCCUUCAUAAACAGCUUCCCUGCAAAAAUUCAGUGGCAUUAUUUGCUCCACCCUUUAAAAAGGUGCUGCUUCCUCCACUGCACGGUUUCUUGGUAAGUGGAAAUCAUUAAACUAGUUGAAGAUCCAGCUCCUGCCAGCUCCAGAUAAAAUCGUUAUUAUCAAAUUAAGCAAAGGAUUUGUUUGUUUUGCUUCAGCUCUAAUUCUCCUUUCAUUUAGCAGGGUGUUAUGCAUCAGAUUGCACUUAAAAUUGUAAGCAUACUUGCUAACGUGUUCCAUACGUGACACACAGAAAUCAAAUGACUUCUAAAAAUAUUUGUUACUCUGACACAUAGGGAAUUGACAGAUUAGAUAGAGAAGACAGAGGUUAGCACCAGUGUGUAUGAAUGGAUGAGGGGCUAAGUAGAAGACAAAACACUGGAUUGAAAGGUGAAUUACUGUGAUUUAAAUUUUAGAAGACUUUCUGUAUAAGGAGUGAGUUUAUUUUACUUGCUAGUAAUGAAGUGAGGGAAAAAAGUACAAGUUGGUUGAAGGAAAAUGGAAAUGGCACAGGAUGGAAGUGUGGAGUCAUUGUGCAGAAAAAACUCUAUCUCUGAAUGUUUUGUAAACUACGGUGGGUGAAAUUUAGUAGCUGAAAUGCUACACAGUGGUCUUGAAUCAUAACCCUUGCUCAUAGAUUUUUUUCUGAUAUGAAGAGGAAGAGAAAGAGAAGGAAGAAGAGUGGUUCUUUUGGUGAUAACAUGUGAAUAAGCAUUACCAGGCAGGAGCUGCUCACAGAAAAACCCAGGAACAAACCAAGGACGUGUCGCUGGAGCUAAAGAGACCCUGGACUGGAGGGUCUCAAGAGGACCAAGUAAGACAGGAGGCUUUCUUCUGACUUCUACUUCGAUUUUCUUCCUUAUUCAAAACAGUGUUCUUACCCCUUCCCUCUAGAUUUUACUCCUUUCCCAAGCCUGAGUAUCCUGUGUCCAUCAGCAUCUCUCUCCAGAUCAAAUACUCACUUGCUUCAUUCUCAGAAAAGACCUGCGUAGAAUCCCUUAAAAAACACUAUUCUUCUCUGCCAAUAAAAAGAAAGCCUUUAAA